rnacentral:rRNA from 1 species
UACGUAGGUGGCAAGCGUUACUCGGAAUCACUAGGCGUAAAGCGCGGGUAGGCGGUUGGGUAAGUCUCUUGUGAAAGCUCCCGGCUUAACUGGGAGAGGUCAAGGGAAACUACCUGGCUAGAGUGCGGUAGAGGAAGCUGGAAUUCCUUGUGUAGCGGUGAAAUGCGUAGAUAUCGGGAGGAACACCGGUGGCGAAGGCGGUUCUCUGGGCCUGUACUGACGCUGAGGAGCGAAAGCGUGGGGAGCGAACAGG